ACUGAAGAGAGACACCAGCUACUAACAAACAUCACCAACCUCACAGAAGACAGAGACACACUGCUAACUAAGGUCACCAACCUCACAGAAGACCAAAAUCAGCUACAUGCCAAGAACAUAAGACUUACUCAAGAGAAAGAUGAAUUAUCGUCCAAUGAACAAGACCUGAUUAAACAAAGAGACCACCUAAAUCAACUGUUAAAAAUGGGUAAUUAUUAGUAGAUGUAAAUGACUUGAUGUGUUCUUUGAUUACAUUUUCACAUUUGUCAGUUUGUCUGAACAUAAGUGUAACAUUUGUUAUGAUGUGAUGAUGAUCAUGUGUAUAUCGUUUUACUAUACAGUAAAAUUCAUUCAGCUCAGAGGGCAAAGUUGAACAAAGCUCAUAAUGUAGUUUUUUGGUGUUCUCAAUAUUCUUGUGUACUGAAACAAAGUGCUAAUAGCUGAACUGCUUGUGUUUACAGAAUGGAUUUACUACCGUUCCAAUCUUUACUACUUUUUCAAGUUGAAAAAAAGCUGGACUGAGAGCAGAAGAUACUGUAGAAACCAUGGAGCAGAUCUGGUCAUCAUAAACAAUAGAGAAGAGCAAGAUUUUGUUGAUAAAAUAACUGCUGGUGAGAAAGCCUGGAUUGGUCUGUCUGACAGUGAUGUGGAGGGCAGUUGGAAAUGGGUUGAUGACAGCAAACCAACCUCUUGGAUCUGGCAUCAUGGAGAACCUAGUAGUGGUGGAGGACAAGUGGAAGAAGACUGUGUUUUAACUGUUACAUCAGCAUGGGCUGAUUACCCAUGCGAUGCUGAAUUCCAAUGGAUCUGUGAGAAGAGAGUUUUUAAAUAACCAUUUUCAUAUUUAUUGUCACCUCUUUUUUGCUAUUUUUGUUUACUCUGUUGGAAAAACCUCUCGUUAAAACCAUCUGAUGCUGAAAUCUUAAUCCAUGUAUUAAUCAUGUCACAUCUGGAUUACUGCAAUACUAUUGUUUUGGUCUGCCUAAAAAAAACGAAUUGCCAGGAUGAAGUGUUUAAAACUCAGCAGCAAGAGUUCUCAUUUCUGCUCACAUUACUCCUCUACAAGCAUCACUGGAUACCUGUGCCAUUGCAUAAACCGUUGAAAAUAUUACUCAUAUUUAAAUCAUUAACUGUGCUUUCACAUCUUUCUGGCCUACUGUACCUUUACUCUCCUGGCUCUAAGCUCAGAUCAUCUGAGCUUGAUCUUUUGGCUGUUCCUCUUUGUCAGCUGUCCACUUUAGGUGGAAGGUUUGGUGUCAAUGCUCACAAGUUAUGAAAUGUACUGCCUCUUACACUUAGAAAUAUUAGAUUUGUCUACUUUUAAUGUAUAUUUUUAAUUUGUAUUUUGUAUAAUGUAGCUUCACCGGCCAUAUAUGUAUGUUGUCCAUGUGAAUGUGCAAUUUGUUAAGUGAUCUUAAGCAAUGGGCACUACAGUGUGUAAAUAAAACACGAGCUGUUGGUU